rnacentral:lncRNA from 1 species
GCUCAAGCUCAGAAACCUGAUGGUCAGCUUAUAAAAACAAACAAGCAGAACGCAGAACCAUCCAGAGUUCCGGAAAUGCUCCCAUUGGCCUCCUUGGUGGGCUAAGUGGUGGCUGAAAGCCCAGAAUCCUGAGAUUUGAAGAAGAGAGUCCAGUACAGGCAAACACCGAAGUGUGCCACGGAUUUAUCCAUUUGUUCAUAUUUUCAAAGCUGACCAGUCAGAAGGUGGCAGGCCGAUCUCUGCAUUUGAAGCCAGCCUGGUCAACAUAGCAAGUUCCAGGCCAGCCAAAGCUACAUAGAGAGACCCCAUGUUUCAAAAAACAAACCAAAAAUAAAUAACUAUAAGAGUUCUGACCUCCACAGUCAUCAGGCACGCACAUGGUGCAUAUACCUAAAUGCAGUCAAAGUACUCAAACACUUGGGAAAAAAAAGUUUUGUUUUGUUUUAAGCUUACUAAAGGGCUGGUAAGAUGACUCUCAGUGGGUAAAAGUGCUUCUUGCUGCACAAGCUUGGCUGGCGUCCUGAGUUUGAUCUAUGGAACCCAUGGUGGGAGGAGAGAAGCUGUCAGUUUACUGCCACACUUGCUUUGAUGAAUGUGCUCGUGUGCAUACACACACAAAGACAGGAAGUAAUUUUUAAAAAGGUGGCUAGAAACACAUGUUAUGUCACCUGUGUUCCUCCAUGUCAAUUAGCAAGAGAACACCUUGAGCCUGUUGUCUCUAGCUGAGUUUUUGUGAGUGCGUUUGUCAGCCAGUUAAGUAGCAUGCUCUUUCGUGACAUCCUUUUAGGCUUAGCUUCCAGGACACCGACAGGAAUUGUUUGGUACUUGAAAGUAACUACGGAGAGUCGUGAAAUGUUAAUUUAUUCUUUUUAGCUAAGUCAUUGUAUCUUAAAUUCAUUCAGUUGCGGAGCACCUGGGAGCUGCUCACCUCCUUGGGAACCCUGAAAUGUUCUAGUGAUAAUAAUAACAAGGAUAAUUUUUCUAACGGAAAUAACGAUACUCUGAUCUCUAGGCGCUAUGCAGUCACACCAGCCCAGGUGCACCCGCGUAAACAGGCUGUCUGCCCGAGCAAGCAGUAGGCUCCAUUCUUCCCCUGGUGUAUUUGCUCCUUAUUCAUUCAUUUGGUGGCUGCUGGCACUUGCUAAUAGCAAGCAGAAGUAGCUGCCGUCUCAGAUUUUGAUUAGCAGAUCUUACCUCCCCCACCCCACUGCAAAUUAGGACCAUGUGUCAAUCAGUUUGAUUGACAGGGCACUUCGAUGGAGUUCACGGACUACCAGUACUCAAGAUUGGCACGAUAAAGUAUAGGUUUCUUUUAGUCUUAAGCAUCAACCAGAAAGGACAAGGGCCAUGAAGAAUCCGUUUACCUGGUGAUCCAAAAGGGAAGGCAUACCUAUUCUAACUCGUGAAACCAUGGGUAACUGUCUAUGUCUGUUACGUUGUGCUCAUGAUAGCUACGUCUGUGGCAACUUGAUAGAAGAUUUCCUUAACGCUUCUUACGUUAGCUUAUGUUACAUAUCAAGAUAUUCGAAAAAUUAGUGGCCUUAAAGACCAAACUGUUAUAGUUGUGAAAGCCCCUCCAGAAACGAGACUUGAAGUGCCUGACUCAAUAGAGGUAAGGAGACAGUGACGCCGGCCAUCCAUAGAGAACGCUCCAGAACGCCUGAACGCAAGCGUCACUGACCCCUCCCAAGAACUUGCUAAUUCCUCUUCAUUUAUUUCCAUAACCUAAAGUUUAAAAGGGUUCAAAAUUUCCCUGUUUAUUGAAUGCCCAAAACGUCUGGUUUCAAUUUAGAGGGGUGUUCGGGUCACAGCAGGCUUUGGUGCCCUGUUUUCUCUUCAACUUUCCUUUUUCACAAUUUGUUAUCUGGUGGCUGUGAUCAGUUUGAACCACUUGAGAAUUUUUAUUUUGAUUGCCUUGUGUACGGGUGUCCCCACUAUGGAUUUUAGAAGUAGCUCUCUGACCUAGCACAUUUUUAGGAAUUCUUUAAAAACAUUUGUAGCAUGUUUACUUUGAGAAAAUUAAACGGGACCUUGGGGUAAUCAAUAGCCAAGAACGUUGUAAGAAAGUAGGACGGGCGUCCUUGUAAUUGCUUUCAGGUGUACUUUGAUGAAAUCAGCCUCGGCUGCAAUUAUAAGAUAAAGGAGCUAUAGUGAAAAGAAAAUACCUAGAAUAUUAAAAGAUAAUACCUAAAAUAUUGAAAACAUUAAAUUUACAAGGUAAACUUCAUACCUUAUACAGUUACAACGUUAUGACCUAGAUGAAGAGGGCCUCUAAAUAUUCGUUUGCUGAGCAAGCUGAAGAGAUGGCUCAGUGGUUAUAGCACUGACUCCUAUUCCAGAAGACCCGAGUUCCAUUCCCAGCAUUCAUGUAUAGCUCAUAAGGACCUAUAACUCCAGCUCCAGAAGAUGCAGUGCCCUCUGGGCCUCUGGCCAACAGCCACACACAGGAAUCUAUAUUCACACAGACGUAGAAGCAUGCCUUUAAAUAAUGCACUGGAGAGGUGGCUUAGUGGUUAAGAACACUUGUUGCUCUGCGAGAGGACCCUGGUUCAAUUCCCAGCAGCCACGUGGCAACGUCGGUAACAGCUUGUCGGGUACCCAGGCGUGCACAUGGGUGUAAAGAUGUACGUGCAGGGAAAACACACAAACACAUAAAAUAAGAAUAGUUUUUUUAAAAUAAUAGUAACAAAAUUAAGUCUUGGACUGGAGAGAUGCUUAGUGAUUAAGAGCAUUGGCUGCCCCUCCAGAGGACCUGGGUGAUUCCCAGCACCCACACAGCAGCUCACAGCCAUCUAUAAUUCCAUUCUCAGAGGGACCACCAAAAGGCAUACUUGCUGAUGCAUAAGGAUGCGUUCAGGCAAAGCACAAGUACACAUGAAACUAAAUGAAUAAUUCUUUUUUUUAAAUCCACUUAUAAUCCAAUUAUUUAAAAAUG